AUAGAAAAAAUUCAUUCAUAUACUUAAAAAACUCCUCAACAAAUUAAAAUUUAAAUCUCUUUUCUACACCUCCAAAUUCUCCAUCUAUUUUGCCAUCAAUUAAUCUUAAAUCCUCAUUACUUGAUUUGUCAAGCUUUUCAUAUUCCUAAAACCCAUUUAAAAUCCUUAAUAUUAAUUCUACCAACCCAAGCAUCAUCUUAUUAAAUUUAAAUUUUUUUCUUCCAAAAUUUUCAAAUUCCAACUUUUUAAAUACCCAAAAACCAAAAUUCUCAAUUUGCUUUUCCUUUUCCAUUAAUUCUACAUUUUUAUCUCACCAAUAAAGCUCUUCUUUCUCACAAAUACCUCAGCAACCAGCAUCCUCCAUUCCUCCACCAUCUAUGUCAGCACGCAGUAGCAGCGUUGAGCAACAACUCAACGAUCCAUCUGAAGCACCGUCGGUCCCUCCUUACGCUGCAAUAAUUUCAUCAUCCUCAACAGCCCCAACAGCAGCAACACCGUCGCCUUGUGUCGCAGCAGCCUCAUUGCCUUACACCGUAGCGUCAACAAUAGCAGCAACAAUAACCUCUGCGUUGACGGCUGCAAGCGCAACAACAACAUCCUUUCUUUCCUCUUCACAUAUUACAUCCAAAAUCUUUUUUCUAACUAAACCCACAUACCAAAAAAUUCUUCCUCUUAUAUUUCUAAUACUCACACACAAGGACACCAAAUUUCGCCUUCUUUAAUAAAAGACUCACUUUAUCAAAAUAUAAAAAAUAUUUGUUAGAAGUUUUUCCUAUUUUCCCUCCCUCUUUAAUCAACAAAACAAAGACUUUUUUGGUAUAUCAAAGGAAAAGGAGAAAGAAAGGCCUUACAUUUAUAAAAGAUAAAGGAGAGGAAUGUGCACCUUCAAAUUUACACUUCUUUCUUUGUGAAGGUGUAUUCAUGGUUUCGGCAGGUACCUUAGGCUCUUCUCUUCCGAGUGAACCCACUACUACCGAUGUGUAGUUGCUGCUCAGGUAAACUUCCUUUUAAAUCUCCAAAUUAAUUCUUAGAAAAGAGAAAAGAUAAUAUCCAAUUAUAGCUUAUGAUUUUGUGAUCAUGGUCUCAUUCAUCGGAGUUACUCUCAUUAAGCACCACUAAUCCACAGGUUGUUAUGCCUUUACCUCCUCCAAUAGAUCCUUAGAGUAUUGGUACUCAUGAGGUAUACCACUUGUCAUAUAUGUGUUCCUUGCCUUUAUCUAUUUACUUUUCGAAAACACUUAAUUCUCCCCUCUUGUAGGUUCCACCUUUACUAGCUAAAUUCACCUAUACUCUUUUAGGAGUUCAUGACUUUCUCACUUUCAGGAACACAUUGAUUUUACUCAAUUUUAUUUUAAACUCCAGUAUUAUUUUAAUGUAGUUAUAUUAUUCUUAAUAAAACAACAUCUUAUUUGUAGAGAUCUCCUAGUUAUGUUCAACCCUGAACCAAGACAUCAAGGGACUUUCCUCUUUAUUGGUUUACCAAACUCUUCUCAACUCUCAUCUUCUUUUCCCUUUGAAAAUCAAGGAAAGAAGAAAUCAAAACAUAAGGAGGAAGGAGCAUUAUUAUUAGGCAAGACUUCUUAUAAAUGAGUCAUUCUUGGCCAAUCAGAAAAGAUUGGCUAGCUUGAGUAGAUAGACUCAGACCAACCUUUUCUCCUCUUUGGAAACAAGUUGGUGUACAUGAUCUGAUUAGCCUCAGCCUGGAAGACCCAACUAUGGAACAAGACUUACUAUGUGUCACACUCAGAUUUUGGUCACCAUCCAUCCACUCUUUUAUUUUCCCUUUUGGACCAACGUCCAUCACUUUUAAAGAUAUUUUGCUGCUAACUGGUUUACCUAUCUUGGGAUGUAGCAGGUCCUUACCCUUCUUAUGAUCCCCGUUCUGUGGAGUUUUUCUUCCUAUCAUCACUUUGUGCAGAAAUGGAGCCAAGCAGGUGGAUUCCCUUCAGAUAUUGAGCAUAUUGAAUUUAUGUGGGUCCUUAUUUGUCAAUUCAUUUUCUACCCAUACUCUAGCAAAUCUAGCCUUGAAUUCCUUCCCUUAGCCAAAGGUAUAGUGUCGGGUAAGACCUGUUAUGCUUCAGGCAUCAUGCUACUUGCCUCUACAUUUCAAUCGUUGGACAAGGUGGUCACAAUACAUCCAUUGUAUAGGUUUGGGAACCACAUGUGGAUUGUUCAGUUGCGGCUCUUAGCCUAUUUUCCAUCUUUGAGGAACAAGCAAAUGAUAGACCCUCACUUAUCUUUAGGCAGAUUCCUCAUGACCUGCAGAGUAUAAUGUAAUCUAGCUGGUAUAAUGAAAUGCUUCCUAUCUACCGGCAACUAUGGUGUAUCUGAGCUUGAUAUUCGGUCUUCUGGCAAAGAAAUACCUUGGUGGAUCAAGGAAAGGGUUAUGGAUAUGGUUGAUCUCAUGGUGUUUGUGACCAUGCUAUUUUAUGUCUUCACCAUAGAGAGGCUUUUUAUGAUUGGUAGUUCUUUAAGCUUUACCAUUGGCAUUCCUUCAGCUUAGCCUCCAAUUUUUUAUAAGAUGCUUGCCUUCACUUUGGUGUAGGCAAUUUGGUCUCUACUAGAUCAUAACUACCUUGGAUUUCUCUAGUGAAGCUCUUAGUUUUCCUAGUGAUGUCACUAUGCAACACAUAGAUGCUUUCCUUAAGAAAUAUCAAAAGUUUUCAUGCUCCACUUAUGAGAUUGAUGAUGAUGCUAGAGUUGCCUUUAACACCUGGUGGCCUCAGAGAUUUGCAUAACUUGCUCCUAUUACUCCAAGUAAUAUAGCUAAGGGUUUGCCCUUGAUUUCAUUCCAACCUCAAAAAAGAUCAUCAAAAGAUAAACAAAACAAGAAACUUGAGAGGCCACUGUCCACCAUCCUAGAAAAAGAAACAAAAAGUCGGUAAGUCUUCCUCUUCUGCUACUCUUGGAAAAUCUUCCAAAGCUAAAGCCUAUGUUCCUCUGGCUUAUACCGGAAGGUCCUAAAGAAAUGUUCUCAAGAGUACCUUUAUUAACUCCGAAGAAGAUCCACUUGGAGUUUUAGGAGAUACAGAUACAGAAGAUUCUGAAUUUAACAAAAGUCAUGAGCCUAGCAACUCUUAUGAUUAUUUUGUUGAUAGCAAGGAUCUUGAAACCGAAGAGGAUGAAUAUCCCACUGAUAUAGAGUAUCUAGGAGAUUACUCCCUCUUUCAUCACUUAUCUCUUUCUACUCCUGCAAAGUAUGAUGAUACAGAGCCGCACGUAAGUCCAUCUCUAGUUGUUCCUCCCAAGCCUCCAACUUCUCUUCCUAUGCCUAAGGUACAUUUCUUUUACAAAUGCUUAUAUUAAUAUACAUACUUUAGAAAACCUGAAGUUAUUUUUAUUCACUUUUUAUUAUAGGACAUAACUCUAGUUUCAGAGUUUGCAGAUCUUCUUUCUGGCCUGACUUCUCUUUUUUAGCUGCUACCUCCUCUUCAUUGAGUACCGCAUUGGCUCCUUCUACUGAAGUGGUGGUCAAGUUUGCCAAGAAAACUCUUCAUCAGUUAACUGGCUUGGAAUUGCUGACUCUUAACAAGGAUGAGCAACAUCUGGUUAUUUCUUCUCUUUAUACUUUAUAUGCUGCUAUUACUUCGCCUUUUGAGGCUACUGAGAUUGCUUAACUUAUGCACGAGGUAUCUUGUAUUUUUGGUGAAGUUAAAGAAAAAGAGCAAGUUAUUGAUGAUAUGUCUAACAAGUUAUUGAUGAUAUGUCUAACAAGAUCUCUUUUUUUACUUCUAGUAAGCAAGAGUAUGGUUGCCUUACUAAUAAGGCCUUUGAGUUGCAACAAGAAUAUCAUAGUAUGUCCCAGGCCUACAAAGAAAAAAUUGAAUAUGUGUAGAAACUGAAGGAGGAAGUUAAAAUCUAGGAACAACAACUCAAAAACAUGUUUCAAGAAAGUGGGAAGCUAAAAUAUCCUAUGAAGAGGCUACUAAAGCAGUCCAAGACAAAGGUACUACCGUGCGAACUAAUUAUCCUCUAAUCCAUGAAUGCAACAAAAGAUUGGAGGAAGCACAUCAUUUAAGGGAACAACAUGGCCUCAAAUGGAAGGAGAUGGGUACUCUAUCUAGACAUUUAGACCUCUAGACUUUGCUCAGCAUGGCCUUAUUUAUGUUUUGAAUGAUGUCUCAGAUUCUAUUAUGCCUUUGCUUGAUUUUGACUAUUUUGGUAUUUAUGAUGUGACUUGGUGUAUUGGAGCUUUGGCCAUUCACUCUCCUUUUAUGAUUAUGGCCAUAUUCUAUUGUGAAGUUUUUGUUGGACCA